CCUUCCUUUCGUUUCGACAGCUUCAAUGAUGACCUCGCGCACACGUUUGGGUACUUCCUCCGGUACUCCAGUACGUUGUCUAACUGCGCACACACUUGGUGCGCCAGCACUUCCUCAGAUCAAAAGUGACGCUGUGAUCUUCUACUUUCACGAAGCAUACGGUGUUCCAAAAGUUAUUGGAGCCGCUGACAACGGACAAAGCGAGGCACGCAACAUCCACUCGGAGCACGUAGAACUCCUUGCAAGAGGGAGCAGAUGACGUCGCUGCAAAAGCGUCUUGCAUUUUCCUCUUAGGGUCUGAGCUGAUUUGCCUUUUACCUGCUUCGAACGAAACGAAAAAUCAAACAGCAUGGUAAUCUCGACUCUCUCGCUCAUCUUUCUUGAAAAUAGAGGCAUGACUGCCAGUAGCAGCUUCUUUCUCAAUGCGCGGCUAGUGGUGGAUAGCACUCAUCCCGGUCUUACCUACAGUAGCUACAUAGAUGUCGUGCUGCAUGGGUCCUCCGUUCCUUCAUCUCUUUCUCUCCCUCUACCCUUGUGCAUAUUUCUUGUUCUUGUGUGUGCAAG
rnacentral:misc_RNA from 1 species